rnacentral:rRNA from 1 species
AGAGUUUGAUCAUGGCUCAGGAUGAACGCUGGCGGCGCGCCUAACACAUGCAAGUCGAACGGCACCUAUCUUCGGAUAGAAGCGAGUGGCGAACGGCUGAGUAACACGUGGAGAACCUGCCCCCUCCCCCGGGAUAGCCGCCCGAAAGGACGGGUAAUACCGGAUACCCCGGGGUGCCGCAUGGCACCCCGGCUAAAGCCCCGACGGGAGGGGAUGGCUCCGCGGCCCAUCAGGUAGACGGCGGGGUGACGGCCCACCGUGCCGACAACGGGUAGCCGGGUUGAGAGACCGACCGGCCAGAUUGGGACUGAGACACGGCCCAGACUCCUACGGGAGGCAGCA